rnacentral:rRNA from 1 species
UGACGAGUUUGAUCCUGGCUCAGAAUGAACGCUGGCGGCAGGCCUAACACAUGCAAGUCGAUCGAGGACUUCGGUCCUAGCGGCGGACGGGUGAGUAACGCGUGGGAAUAUGCCCUUUGGUACGGAAUAGCCUCGGGAAACUGGGAGUAAUACCGUAUGUGCCCUUCGGGGGAAAGAUUUAUCGCCAAAGGAUUAGCCCGCGUUGGAUUAGGUAGUUGGUGGGGUAAUGGCCUACCAAGCCGACGAUCCAUAGCUGGUUUGAGAGGAUGAUCAGCCACACUGGGGACUGAGACACGGCCCAGACUCCUACGGGAGGCAGCAGUGGGGGAAUCUUAGACAAUGGGCGCAAGCCUGAUCUAGCCAUGCCGCGUGAUCGAUGAAGGGCCUUAGGGGUUGUAAAGAUCUUUCAGAUGGGAAGAUAAUGACUGUACCAUCAGAAGAAGCCCCGGCUAACUCCGUG